rnacentral:rRNA from 1 species
GAUCAACGCUGGCGGCGCACAUAAGACAUGCAAGUUGAACGGACUUAAUCGAAAUAUUUAUAUUUUGAAGCGGUUAGUGGCGGACUGGUGAGUAACGCGUAAGGAACCUGCCUAUUAGAGGGGAAUAACAGUGAGAAAUCAUUGCUAAUACCGCAUAUGCCAUAGAUAUCACAUGAUAACAGUGGGAAAGGAGCAAUCCGCUAAUAGAUGGCCUUGCGUCUGAUUAGAUAGUUGGUGGGGUAACGGCCUACCAAGUCGACGAUCAGUAGCCGGACUGAGAGGUUGAACGGCCACAUUGGGACUGAGAUACGGCCCAGACUCCUACGGGAGGCAGCAGUCGGGAAUAUUGCGCAAUGGAGGAAACUCUGACGCAGUGACGCCGCGUAGAGGAAGAAGGUUUUCGGAUUGUAAACUAUUGUCGUUAGGGAAGAGAAAGGACAGUACCUAAGGAGGAAGCUCCGGCUAACUACGUG